rnacentral:rRNA from 1 species
UACGAAGGGGGCUAGCGUUGCUCGGAAUUACUGGGCGUAAAGCGCACGUAGGCGGCUUUCUAAGUCUGGGGUGAAAUCCUGGAGCUCAACUCCAGAACUGCCUUCGAUACUGGAAAGCUCGAGUCCGGGAGAGGUGAGUGGAACUGCGAGUGUAGAGGUGAAAUUCGUAGAUAUUCGCAAGAACACCAGUGGCGAAGGCGGCUCACUGGCCCGGUACUGACGCUGAGGCGCGAAAGCGUGGGGAGCAAACAGG